rnacentral:tRNA from 1 species
CCCUGGUUAGCUCAGUUGGUAGAGCGCUCCACUUGUAAUGGAGAGGUCCCGGGUUCGAU